GUGCUUGCUUUGGCAGCACAUAUACUAAAAUUGGAAUGGUACAGGGAAGAUUAGCGUGUCCCCUGCACAGGGAUGACACACAAAUUUGCAAAGCAUUCCAUAUUUAU
ensembl:snRNA U6 U6 spliceosomal RNA